AGCAGACGCUGCUCUGGGCGAAGGCUGCGGCGCGCGUGCGCGGGGCUGGGCCUUGGGUUCCGUUCUCCCCCAAGUUUCUCCAAGUCUGCACUUCGCCAAACUAUGGGUGUGUCCUGGGCCAGUGCAUGAAGCGAUGGAGUGGGGACAUCGAGCCGAUUUGGAAAAUUCCUGCCACCCACUCUCUGUGGAGAAACGAGGUCUAGACGCGGUGCAGGGGAGAGAACCACUUACUGAACGCCAUGUGUGUGCGCGGCGGGCGUGGUGCUGGGCGCCCUUCUUUUGAUUCUCACAACCCUUUGAAAGACCUCAAAAUGACCCCUCAUGGAAGAGGAAACUGAGGCCCUGUGAGUUCAUUUAAUUGGCCCACGGUCAUCCAAUCAGUUAAGGGCAAUUUCCAUGAAGGGUCCGUGCUUCAAAGUGGGUUUUUGGCCCUAAAACACACAAACGACACCUGUAGCACAUUUGGCAAGGCACUCUCAUAGGCAUUACUCAUUCCAUCCUUAUCAGAAACCUAUGAGGUAGUAGGUGCUGUGACUAUUUUCUUUUUGCAGAUGGGGAAACUGAGACUCAAGGAAGUUGUUCUGGAAUCCCACAGAGAAUAUCAGAGCUGAAAUUUUCUGUCCUAUUUUAGAGAGAUAAAAAGCUGAAAGCUCAAAGUCACGUUCUCCCAUCGCCAAUCUGAAGACCUAUGAGAGCUUCAUGCUCUAUGGGGUGAGUGGCCCAGGCCAUGCUAAAGACAAAGAAGUUCUCAUUAUUGGAGGUCUCCUUUGAGGGUUUCCAUUACAAAAUUACAAAGUGAUCAACCCUUCUAGAAGACAGUUGGGUUGUUCACUUAUUAAGGGCAGGGACAGAGUGCACUGCUCACAGUUGCUGAAUUUGGUGUUCGUUCGGUGAGCUUAUAGCUGAAUGAACUCAUUUUCAAUCCCAGAUUAUUCAAGGGGGAAGCUGCCUUUGUGUCAGGCAAUGGGUGAAGUAGCUUGUUUGUGACUUUUCCCAGAGGAGGGUUCUUGCAUUCACGCAGCAAACAUACUUAUCAUGCACUCUGCGGUGUUUAUAUAGCUGGGAAACAGAUGGGAACUUCAAAGGACAGGAAUGCUUUGCUUCUCUUGAAAAUUCUGCUCUGAGUAUUUGUCUUAGUCUUCUCGUGCUGGGUACUUAAACAACAGACAUUUAUUUCUCAUAAUUCUGGAUGCUGGAAGAACAAAAUCAAGGUGCAGGCUGAUUUGAUUCCUGUUGAGGCCCCACUUUCUGGCUUGCAAACAGCCAUCUUAUCACUGUACGCUCUUAGAGACUUCUCUCUAGAGUCUCUUCUUAUAAGGCAUGAAUCCCAUCGUGGGGUCUCCACCCUUAUGACCUCAUCUAAACCAAAUUACCUCCCAAAGGACCCACCUCCUAAUCAUCAUACUGGAGGUUAGGCAUUCAACCUAUGAACUGGGUGGAAGGGAGCACAAAAAUUCACUCAUAACAAUCCUAGAUGUCUGGAUGUUUGCCCAUCUCCAUGCAUGGUAGAAGCCAUGUAAUCCCCCUACCCUGUCAGGGUUUCCUGUGACACAAGAAGUAGAUCACCCAGGGAGGGGCACCGGAACGCAGUCAUAACUCCUCCCACCCCACCAACCCCUUGGUGCCUCAGCUGCUCUUCAGAAUCACAAAGGCCAGAAAACAGAAGCAGCUCUCCUCCUCUCCUAGGAGGCUUUGGAAACAGAGGGAGAUGCAAAUGGAAAUUCCCCAAAAGGGAAAUGCAAGGGAAGCAGAAAAAGCUGCAGCAAAGUGGGUCUGCCCCCGCUACCCUCAUUUCUUUCCAAGAAUCCCCUCCCUUGAGUGUGCCGUCAGAGAAUUGGAAUGUCACUGCCCUGUCCCCCAAGACUGUGUUGCUGCUCAGGCUGAUAAAGACAAAGGCUGCAAUUGGGCUCGCUUUGCCCGAAUGUAACCCUGCCUUGAAGCCUUCCUGAGGUGACCAGGGGAGAUCAUGUGCUGCCUGAUGCUGUCAAGAUGCCUGUGUGAGCUGCCUGCCUGCUGGUGUUGGCAGGAAGAAGGCUGCUUGGUAACUUACAUCAGCACCGCGUGGAGGGUUGAGAGCUUUGGCCAUGCCGGGCCCUGUGCUGACACUUGUAGUUGAAUUCCCUCCCAUAUGAUCCUCCACAGCCCUAUGCAGUAAGUGUGUGACCCCCGUUUUGGAGAGUAUGAAACUGAGGCUCUGAGGAGGUCCUGUAUAACAGUGGAACUACUGAUAUCAGUUGCUCUGAAGGACCCCACUGACUCAGCUGAGCAGAGGAACACCACGAGCAGCUGACUCACCAAAGAAGGGGCCCAGGAGAGACUAAAAGCUAUGAAGGAAUUUGAUGUGGGGAACCCCAACAGAGCCAAGAAGGUACCCAGAGACUUUAGAAACUAUAGGGACUUACUUCUCAGGACCCCUUUGAAACCUAGACCUAAGAGGAUGAUUUGAUGCUGAGACAGCAUGACAUGCAGAGUGACUCAAUCCAACAGAAUGCUAAGUCUCAGUGAGCUGUCACCCCAUUCUGCACCAGAUGAAUAACUCUGCAACACUCAGAUGAUUGUGACCUCCUCCUGCCGUGCCUGCCCACAUGUCACCAGUAGAAGCAAGAAUGAACAUUUGUGAAAAAAUUAGUCUGCAUUGUCAAUUGUCAUCCUGGAGAGAAAAUGACUUGAUCUUCAGUGAUAACAGGAAUAUUACCAUCUUUCAGCCCCAUCUCAUUUUUCUUCACUUACUCAGAGUCUUACUCAGCGACCUAAUACUGAGUCUACUGAUGUCUUCACCUGCAAGAGCAACCUCCUUCCCAAAUCAGUUCCCACUCCUAACAGGAGCAGAGGCAAUAUCAGUAGCCCUUUUUUAUUUUUUUUCCUGAGACAGAGUCUUGCUCUGUCGCCCAGGCUGGAGUGCAGUGGCACAAUCUCGGUUUACUGCAACCUCUGCCUCCUGGGUUUGAGCGAUUCCCCUGCCUCAGCCUCCUGAGUAACUGGGAUUACAGGCACCUGCCACCAUGCCCGGCUGAUUUUUUGUAGUUUUAGUAGAGAUGGGGUUUCACCGUGUUGGUCAGGCUGGUCAAUUCCUGACCUCGUGAUCCACCCACCUCCCAAAGUGCUGGGAUUACAGGCAUGAGCCACUGUGCCCAGCCGCCUUUUUUGUUCUCUUCCUUGAUCUUAGGAGUUUAGGAAAUGAUCACACUCCCAGAUCCAAGAUCUGGUGUUCUACCCUCAAAGCCAAUGGACUCACAAGAUCCCACCAAGCAGAUCUAAAUGAUCUAGGACUAAUAAUGCAGGCUCUGAAGUUAGAGAGACUUAGAGUCAAAUCUGAACUCUGCCACUUAACCUUGCACAAGGCCAGUGUCUCAAUUAGGUUAGGAUAGUCAACAAUGCUAAAUAAGAAAAUUCAUUUCUCGGCUGGGCACGGUGGUUCACACCUGUAAUCCCAGCACUUUGCGAGGCCGAGGCAGGCGGAUCACGAGGUCAGGAGUUCAAGACCAGCCUGGUCAACAUGGUAAAACCCUGUCUCUGCUAAAAUACAAAAAUUAGCUGGGCGUGAUGGCACACGCCUGUAAUCCCAGCUACUCGGGAGGCUGAGGCAGGAGAAUUGCUUGAACUCAGGAGGCAGAGGCUGCAGUGAGACCAGAUGGCACCACUGCACUCCAGCCUAGGCGACAGAGCAAGACUCCAUCUCAAAAAAAGAAAAUUAAUUUCUCAUCACAAUAUACGUCCAACAUAGGUUAGUGGAAGGCAGUGCUCCAUAUUAUUACUCAAGAACCCAGGCUGAGAAAGGUUCCAUCUUAUAAUGUCACCAUCACAACACAUGGUGUUCAGGGAUACUAAGACAGGGGAAAGAUGAGGGAUGGGCCAAGUUUGAGGUUUUAACCAUCUCAUCCCAGAAAUGAUACAAUGGCAUUCCAGUUUUGGUCCAUUGGCUAGAACUAGUCAUGUAGCCCUGCCAACCUGCAAGGGCCUAAGAAUCAUCACCUUCCUUAUUACCAGAAAGUGGAGGAGAACUGGAUAUGAGUAAAUAAUUUUACUGCAGCCCAGCACACAGAGUGUGAUACUACUGUGUAGUUACUUUCUUCCUUCAAGUUUCCUGUAGGUCCAAUAGACCAAGGAUUCAUUAAGCUAAGGAAGGGCCCUGUUGUUUGUAUAACCACCCAUCAGAAGACUCUAUCCCCCAUGUCACCCUCAACCUCAAUGCCACUCCACAAUGAACAGGCUCAGUUCACCAGCAUGGGCUUAUGACCUAGGCUUUUCUUCCUAGCCAGUCUUGCCCUAUUGUCCUGCUUGAUUUUUUGGCCUGCCCCUCUAAGCUUGAGCCUUAUCCUAAUAAGAAACUUUGUAGGACUGGAAGCUUCAUAUCUUGUUCAGCUCUUGCCAGUUCUCCUUAUGAGCAGUCAAUCAAUGUUUUAGCAGUGGAGCCAUCUUGGAUCCUCAAACUUCUUGGAGGCCAAAGGGCUAAACAAUUCCCAGUCACAGCGAAUUUGCUGCCAAAGAUACACUCACUCAGCCUUUCCAAGGAAGUGACUGGAUAUGUAAAAAAGGGUUAUGUACAAAGAUGUUUAUUGAAACAUUAUUUGUAAUAGCAAAAUAUUGGGAAUAACCUAAAUGUCCACCAAAGGAGAAUGCUUAUAAAUAUGAAUCAUCCACAUGAUGGAUGUAUAAGUUAUGCCUGCCAAGUUCAUCAGGGUAAACAGAAGAGACAAAAUCAGAUUAUUUAUUAGGAUGGAGUUGAUUUCCUAACACAGUGGGACCUGCUUUCAUUUUGUUUGCCCUGCAGCUCUACUAUCCCAGAUUUUAUUGAUUCAUUUCAGGGCCAUUCUAUAGGCAGCAUCUCCACUGGGCAGCCAGGGCCCAGCUCAUGUGUAGUUGGGUAGCCUUUGCUACUGCAUUGGUCCCCAAUCCAAUCAUCUGUGAUUAGGGGAGCGGCUAGCUCUCCUCGAAAGUAGAGAAGGUUGUCCUGGCCUCUAAUGAAUUAUCCUUUAGUCAGUCUAAUUCAGUGAAAUAUUAUGUACCCUUUAAAAAUUGUAUUUACCAGAAGUUUUUAAUGACCUGGAAAAGUAUGCAGGAAAUAUCGUUAGGUUUUUAAAAUUUAUAAAAUUGAAUCUAUACUCUGACAUAUGUUAUAACAUAAAUUAACCUUAAAAGACAGACGCGGUGGCUAACGCCUGUAAUCCCAGCACUUUAGGAGGCCAAGGCGGGUGGAUCACCUGAGGUCAGGAGUUCAAGACCAGAGUGGCCAACAUGGCAAAACCCCAUCUCUACUAACAAUACAAAAUUAGUGGGGCAUGGUGGUGGGAACCUAUAAUCCCAGCUAUUCCGUAAGCUGAGGCAUGAGAAUUGCUUGAACCCGGGGGGCAGAGGUUGCAGUGAGCUAAGAUCGUGCCACUUCACACUAGCCUGGGCAAAAGAGCGAAACUCUAUCUCAAAAUAAAUAAAUAAAUAAAAAUAAAUGAACCAAGUGAAAUAAGCCAAUCAAAAAAAGGGCAAUAUUGUAUGAUUCCACUUUCUUUUUUUUUUUUUUUUUUUUUUUUUGAGAUGGAGUCUCACUCUGUAGCCCAAGCUGGAGUGCAGUGGCGUGAUCUCGGCCUUCACUACAACCUUUAUCUCUUGGGGCUCAAGCAAUUCUCCUGCCUCGGCCUCCCAAGAAGUUGGGACUAGAGGCUUGCACAACCACACCCAGUUAAUUUUAUGUAUUUUUAGUAGAGACGGGGUUUCACCAUGUUGCUCUGGGUGGUCUGGAACUCCUGAGCUCAGGCAAUCCACCCUCCUCAGCCUCCCAGAGUGGUGGGAUUAUAGGCGUGAGCCACCAUGCCCAGCCAUGAUUCCACUUACAUGAGGUCCCAGGAGUAGUAAAAUCAUAAUGACAGAAAAUAGAAGGGUGGUUGCCAGAGGCUGGAGGGAGAGGGAAAUAGGGUUUAAUGUUUAAUGGGUAUAGAGUUUCAGUUUUGCAAGAUGAAUAAAGUUCUGGAGACGAAUGGAUGGUGGUGAUGGUUGCACAACAAUGUGAAUGUACUUAAUACCACUGAACUGUACAUUUAAAAUGGCUAAAAUGGUAAAUUUUAUGUUAUGUGUAUUUUACCACAAUUUAAAGAAUUGAAUCUAUAGUUUCAUCACAAAUGUGUGAGGUUUUCUUUUUAAACAAAUGUUUGAGUAUAUGUGUGUGCAUGUGUGUGUGUAUAAUUAUGCCUAGUGUUCUGCCUUUGGUAAUGAGAGGAAGAUGCUACAGUUUCUUCCCUCAUGCUCUUCCUUUAGCUAGUGCAAGGGUUGGCAAACUGUGGCCCUUCAGCCAUGUCCAGCUUCUCAUUUGUUUUCAUAAAUAAAGUUUUAUUGAAACACAGUCAUGCCCGUUCAUUUAUGGAUUGUCUGCUUUUAUCCAACAAUGGCAGAG
rnacentral:lncRNA from 1 species